rnacentral:lncRNA from 1 species
GGAAGGAGCAGUGAGGUGCAGGACCUGCGAGGGCUAGGGAGAUUCGAGAGACCUGGAUCCGGACCAGUGAGAGAAACAGGAAGUCAGGGUCUGAAGGUUGGGGGACCUUCAGGUCUGUGUGGGAGAGUGACUGAGGUGUUUGUCAAGAGGUUAAUGGAGGAUGGGAGGUUGAGUUACAGGGCUCUGGCUUGGGUGUCUCAUUGGUUGGGGAGUAGGGAUCAACGUGAUCUGUGAUUUGGGGAUUUUCAAGGGUCAGUGAUUGUGGUUGAGUGGGGUCAGUGAUGGGUGACUGUUAAGCAGUGACUGGGCAUGUGAGGGGUGAAAGCAGAUGUUCUUGUCUUUUCCUAUAUUAGAAGAACAAGCUUCAUCUCAAUGAUCAGAAUCUCCUUCAGUGGGCGGCUCAUGGAGCCCCACUGAGGCCCAGCUGGUUCCCAUUUCCCCUCGCUCAUGGCCCUAUGCAGACCAUCAGGCAGAACGCCCUGGAGGAAUCACGUCUUGUUUUUUAAAGUAAACAUGUAAUAAGUUCCCAGAAAAUUCCUAAAAAAAUGAUCCUAAAAUCUUCAGGACCAGUAGGCACUGCCAACCUGAGGGAAAAUAUGUAGUUUUUCGUGUGAGCUAUAAGAAACCUAUAGUCCACAUCAUACAUUCUGGUGAAAGACUGGAUGCUGUCUCCCUAAAAUCAGGAAAAGGCAAGGAAGUCUGCUGCCGGCCACUGGGGCGUCAAGAAGCGCCGCACAGGUGCUGGCGCGGAGCUGCUUCGCGAUUGGUCGAGUCCGGCCUCUCCAGAGGGAA